CCAAAUCACAGCCGCAUAACCAACAAUCCUGACAGAUUUUCAUGGUCUUCGGUGUCUGUAGGUUAGUACUGGCAUUCAGCACUAUGUAACUUUUGCAGUGGAAACAGUACAGUAAAUCACGUAACGAUUGUUAAGUAACACGAGAAUCGAUCACUCAAAAAGAAGAAAUGUUUUUAUCAGCUCGAAGAUCAUGUACUAUGCCAUUACGUUGUUAUUGGAAGAUGGACAUCAUAGUGAUCUUAUUUUGCUUAUUUGUGCAGACUUUUCUUGAGUGUGUUCGAUUACGUACAUUCAGCCGGUACGGUCUGCAGCAAAUUCAAGUUGACACCCAUUAUUUGCAGCUGUAUCUGUGGAGAUUUGUUGCUGAUGAAAAUCUGGUUCACUUUCUACUGGAUGAAAUCCUUGGCAGUGCUGUACAUCGGUGUUUAGAUCCAGUACUGAUGGAACCCAGUGUUGUUGAGAUCAUCUGUGAGCGAGGCUGAGGAUUUUACUCUCAUCAAAAGCAAGAUGGGUUCACAUUUGUUUUCAAGGUCCUUGAAAUGUGUUAAAAUAAUCAGAUCCAUCAUUUAACUUAAAGCAUUUGAUGUACAGAAAUGUUUAGCUGUCUUGCACUGUUGAGGAUUUAAUCCCCUUCCAACCCCGCUGAGACAGACUGGAAUGUAAUUAUCCAUCAUUUCACAAAAAUAUAUGCUGUUGUUACUUAAAUUAUUUCACGUUAAGACAACUUGAGACCACUGGCCCAUGUUUUUCAGUUUACUGAAGCAUGAAAAAGUGGUUAAAUACUUGUCACUGUAAGACAAGAAAAUAUUACAAAUGCAUUAAUUUUUUUGCAGAAAAUCUUGGUUUACAUGGGAGAAUUUUCUAGCAUUAUGAGCAAAAGAGAGGUGCAGUUGUCUUUGUUCCAUGGUUUUGUAUGUAAGAGUGCAUGUUUAGAUCCAGACAUUUUUAAACUUAUCCCUGGGAAAUGAGCUCAUGGUAUCCACUGUAUAGAAAGUUGUGGGGGCCCCAGAGCAGUUGUGAAUGUGAUGGUGAAAAUAAGAAAUUGGGGCCCUUUUGAGAAUCGUUGCCCAGUUGUCUGGACUUAUAGACAGUCACUCGACUGACUUUGCUUACCCAGCUUGUGUUGAAAGCAAAUGGGUCCUCAUAUUUGGAUUAACCUGUGGACCUAUCACAGAUAUAUCAAAGAUGUGAUGUUUUAUGUUGUUUAUUUGUAAAGAGACCUGUUCAACAUCUGGCUCAAGAAGAUCUGAAAUAUGUUGUCUUAGAUGUAAAUUUUUUUUUUAAAUGUAAUUUAUUAUCAUUAUAUCCCGUACUUUUCACUUAAUUAGAUUAUUUGUAUUUCAACAUCAGUUAUUUUUGUAAUUUUUAAUAACAAAAUUAAUCUUUUUGUUUUAUAAUAAAAAUUGCUGGUGUGAUGCACCAUUGCACACCUUCAGAAAAAGAGCCAUAAUGAUGGGUGUGUUGUCUGUUUGUGUGGCGUAUUGCACCUGCCAGCAUGCAGUGAGGUACAGUAACUGAUAUCUUGCCUGUUCCAUCCAGCUUUGUUUGUGAUGUGGGGCAGAGGUAACACCUGUGGAUACAAGAGGAUAGCAAAGGAUGGCAGUUAGUGGGUGGGUACAGAGGGGGGAACUGGUAUGAAAAAAUGCAGGUGUCUUUUCAUUCCCUGUCAAAUAGGUGGAAGUGUGCCACACUCCAGCUCAGGUCUCCAACAGCCAACGAAGAAGAUAGCGGGCUGAUGAUAAACUAUGUCAAGAAGGGAUUUCGGUUUGUGACCGUUCUAAUGGGCAUCUCAUUCAAGAUUACAACAUAAUGCUCGUUAUAACGUUCACGGUUCGAACACCUUUGCAUAUCAUCAAACAGCAUCCACACAGCAGACACCAUAUGGAAUCCCAAUAUACAUUAAUCCUCUGGUUUAUUCUACAGUCAGAUCUACUUUAAAGGCAUUUAUGGUUUAAUUCUUUGGAAUACUAAUUCCACAUAUGCAGGCUAUAAUAUUAUACUUAAGCUCAUUAAUAUUGUCAACAAGCUGCCAAGGAUUCCGUCCCUUCUUUGAGUAGCUCAUCCCACGUUUACUAACCGUCUUUUCAAUAGUCGACAUUUGUUCCUGGUUGCCGUCUGUUUGUGGGAUAUUUCAUUACCCUAGACAAUGUCUUUCUGCACUUUGUCAAUAUGGCAGACUAAAUUCUUUUUGCAGUCCAGAUAUUUUGUUGAUGCUGAUUUGGUCUUUACUUUAGCCAUUUUGAAGUCUUCCCACUUACAGUUAGCACUAUUUAUUAUUAUUAUUAUUAUUAUUAUUAUUAUUAUUAUUACUAUCGAUCACAGUUUUAUCUAGAGGAUCUUAUAUUUUACAACCAAAUUACAUGAUUUAUGCACAUACAGAAGAAUAAACACGUAUUACAGGGGAUUA